ACUAAGAAUAGCUACAACAUGAAAUCAAUUCAGCACUCUUUCUUUCCAUACUGCAUUCCUCCUGUCCAGACAGAAAAGAAGUAGUAAAGGCCACACAACCUGGACUACAGAGCUCAACAGACCGUAGGAAGCAACCCAUAGGGUCACUAUGGGGCAGGGAAGUCUCCUCCAGAAUAUGGAAAACUUGCAAAAGCACCUCGCUCCAACUGAGCAUUCAGUCUCCUAUCAAUCCAUCCCGCUCCUCCACACUGUGAUGCGACUAUCUGCCGUUGUCUCCGAAAGACUGUUACUUAUCUGGACUUCCCGUUUUCUAAUUAUUUGAUGAAACUAAAAGCAAGAAA